AUUUCAUGGAUCUUGAAUUUCUCCAUAAAGGCGGUUUAUCUGAGCCACCUGAGAAGUGGUGCUAGAAUACACCAUCCUUUAGAAAGAAUAAAAAUAGAUAUCCAAAUACUAAAGUCUGUGAAUCUUAACAUUUUUGUUGUUAAUUUGAAAAGGUGUAAUUGAGCCACAGAUACUACCAAACAAAGCAUGCUGUAUUACCUGGUUGCCAUUCUCAACUGUCCAUUAUGUUGUUAAGUGAUCCAUGGCAGAGUGCCACAGACUGAGUGGCCUGAACAACAGAAAUUUAUUUCCUCACACUUCUGGAGGCGAGAAGUCAGUGGUUGGUUUCUUCUGAGCCCUCUCUCCUUGGCCUGUAGAUGGCCAUCCUCUCCUCUCUGUUCUUCACAUGUGUGGGUAUGUCCUAAUCACUUCUUCUUCUAAGAAGACCUGUCAAAUUCAAUUACGGUCCCCUCUAAUGACCUCAUUUUAACUAAAUUACCCCUUUAUCUAAAUAGAGUCACAUUCUGAGGGACUGGAGGUUAGAACUUCAACAUAUGGAUUUUGAGGGGGACACAUUAAAUUGAAGGAAUGAAUGGACGAAUCCUUAGUGUUGUUGGUAUUGUUUUGUUAAUAUAUUCAAUUAAGAAAUAGGCAGAAAAAUAUUAAAAUGGUGUAAAUUAUCUGAACAUGGGCAAUUGAAAUCUUUCUAGGUCAUGUUUUAGUGUGGCAUGUCUAUAAAAUCAUGCUUUUCUUUGGUAUUUCUAGAGGUGCUAAAGUGUAAAAUAUAUUUCUGGAGCAAGACAUUGUUGGUUUUGUGAUAUAUAAUUGUUAAAUCACUGUAUUUGUUUAUGGGUAGUUAUAGAGUAGGUCAGACACUGUUCUAGUUACUUAGGAUAGCAAUAAACUAAGGAUAUUGAGCCUUUGCCUUCAGAAAGUUCACACUCAAAAUGGUGAAGAUAGUAAAUAAACAUGCAAAGCAAUAAAUAAAGUUAGGGAUUUUAUAUGCUGCCCAGGGAGAAUAAAAUAGGAAAAAUAUGAUAGAGGGUGAUUGAGGCUGGUCAGAGAAGGUCUCUGCUGAGAUGAAAUUUGAGUUAUAAGACUUUACUGAUGAGAAGGGCUUUCUAAACAAAGGAACAACAGGAGCAAAUUCCUUCAGAAUGAAAUAAUCUCCACCUGUUAAAAGGCAGAGGUAAGGUGAUUGUAAUCAAAACGAUGUGAACAAGGAAAAUGGAGGGAGAGAUUGUGUUUAGAGAGACCUUAAAGAGAGAUUUUGGGGUUGAUCUAAAAAGUUUAGAUUUUAAGUAUAGUUGUAUUCCAUUGAAGAUGUGAGGCAGAAGAGUAGGUUGACCUCAAAACCAUCCUACACCGUAGGAAAAAAAAAAAUCUGUAUUGGGGAAAUAACAUUAAAAAAAAAAUCACUCUUGCUAAGAAAGGAGGUGGGAAAAGGAACAGGGAGACCAGUAGAAUUGCUAUUACAGGCAAGAGGUGGAGGUGGACUUGAGAAGGGCUGGAGAAGUGGAAAUGUGGAAAAAAUACCAAAUUUGAGAUGUAUUUUCGAGAUAUAUCUGACAGGACUUAACAGGUAGAUUGGGUAUGUGGUGUAAGGAGAAAAAAAUAAUCCAAGGUGAAUCUAACAUUUUUUGGUUUGGGAUUGUAGGAAGGUGGUAUCACUUACUGAGUGCUUUUUGUUUGUUUGUUUUGUUUUGUUUUGUUUUGUGUGUGGAAUAUUUGGAGGAAAAAUAACAAGCUCUUUUUAAACCAGGGAAAUAUGAAAUGGACAAGAUGAAAACAGUGAGUUCCAUCUGGGCAAGAGGUAUAAGCUUGAGAUUUAUCAGUAUAUAUAUACUUGGCAUUUGAAGUCAUGGAGAGCUAAACGAGGUCAUGUAGGUUGACUACAGAAAGACAAGAAGGCAUUCUAGGGCUGUGUUAAAAGCCUUGCAGAUUUUUGAGGUUUGAAGAAGGAGGGUCUAGUAAAAAAUAGUUGUCCAAAAAAUAAAAGUAACUCCAGGGUACUGGAGACUUAACUAGAUAAGUUUUCAAGCAGAGGAAAUAAUCAAUUGUGUCAGAUUCUGUGGAUUGUUUGGAUAAGAUGAGAACAGAUAAUUUAUCAUUUGCUUUGGCAAAAUGCAAGUCUUUGGUGUUCUUAUUAAAAGCCAUUUUAUUGGAGUGAUGAAGAUAAAGCAUUAUUUUACUACAUUUGAUGAAGAAUUUAAGGUAAAGUGGUAGGUAUAGACAGGGUAGAUUUCUUUGAAAAAUUUUACUGCUGUAGAGAAAUGGGCUGUGGCAGAGAGUUUAUGCUCAGGGGCGUGCAUCUGCAGAUGUUGCUUAAAUUAAGUGACAUUGGUUCUUGUGUUGAAAGGGAUUAUCCAGUAAAGAACAAGAAAUUGUAAUAUGAGAGAGAGAGAGAGGACGGAAUACUUCAGGAAGGAAUUCCUUGAGUAGUCAAAAAAAGAUAGAAUUCAGGACAUGGAUUGAGAGGUUGGUCUUAGAUAGGAUUGGAAGCGCUUCUUUCAUGCUAACAUGAUGGAAGGCACAUUUUGGAGACAGAGAUAUAGGUGAAUUGGAAAAAUUAAUGGUGGGGAAAUGAAAUAGUUUUCAUUUUCUUGCAUUUAUUAUCUUUAUGUAUUAAGCAGUGGUGUCGUCAAUUGAGGAUGAUGGGAUGAAAAAAUCUAGGAAACCUGAGGAGCACAAGGCAUUGUAACUUACUAGAAAGUGGGAAAGUGAAUUUUCUAGAAAAGCAUAGUAGUGGUAGGGCUCUUUGGUACUGUCAAAGGAUCCCUUGAACCAUGUGGUCGUAAACUUAUGACUGGUGGCUACUGAGUGACCCACUAAUGUUUGUUUUGUUUUUUAGGUAUAAUUUAUGUAAUGUUAUAUUACUUUCAGAUGUAUAAUGUAAUGAUGUGAUACUUGUAUUUAUUGCAAAAUGAUCACAACAGUAUAUCCAGUUAGCAUCUAUACCAUACAUAGGUACACAUUAUUUUUCUUGUGAUGAAAACUUUCAAGAUUUAUUAUCCUAACAACUUUCAAAUAUGCCAUACAAUAUUAUUAACUAUAGUCACCAUGCUAUCAUAUGGUAUUUAUCUUUUUCUCUCUGACUUAUUUCACUCAGUAUAAUGCCAUCUUGGUCCAUCCAUGUUAUUGCAAAUGGUAAUAUUUUAUUCUUUUUAUAGCUGAAUAAUAUUCCUAUGUGUGUGUGUAUCACAUUUUCUUUAUUCAUCUACUGAUGGACACUUAGGUUGCUUCCAUGUCUUGACUAUUGUAAAUAAUGCCACUAUGAGCACUGGGAUGCAGAUACUUUUUUUGAGAUACUGAUUUCAUAAAUACCUUGAAGUGGAAUUGCUAGAUCAUAUGGUAGUUCUCUGUUUAAUUUUUUGAGGAAACUCCAUACUGUUUUUCAUAGUCACUGCAUCAAUUACAUUCCCACCAAUAGUGCUUAGGUAUUCCCUUUUCUACACAUCUUCAUUGGCACUUGCUAUUUCUUGUCUUUUUGAUAAUAGCCAUUUUAACAGGUGUGAUGUGAUACCUCGUUAUGGUUUUGGUUUGCUUUGCAUUUUCCGGAUGAUUAGUGAUGUUGAACAUCUUUUCAUGCACCUUUUGGCCAUCUGUAUGUCUUUUUUUGCAAAAUGUCUGCUCAGAUCCUCUGCUCAUUUUUUUGAUUGGAUUUUUUUUUUUUUUUUUGCUAUUGAGUUUUAUGAGUUCUUAUAUAUCUUGGCUAUUAGCUCCUUAUCAGGAUACAUGAUUUGCAAAUACCUUUCCCAUUCUGUAGGUUAUCUUUUUAUUUUGUUGGUAGUUUCCUUUGCUGUGCAGAAGGUGUUUAAUUGGAUGCAGCAACAGUUGUUUAUUUUUUGCCUAUGGUGCCUUCGCAUUAGGUGUCAAAUCCAAAAAAUCAUUGCAAAGACUGUUUUCAAGGAGCUUGCAUCCUUCUUUCUUUCCUAGGAGUUUUCAGGUCUUGCACUGAAGUCCUUAAUCCAUUCUGAGGUAAUUCUGUGUAUGGCAUAAGUGGUCCAGUUUCAUUCUUUUGUAUGUGGCUGUUAGGUUGUAGGUUUGUAAGGAGUACACAGAGUAGCAAAGAAAGUCAGGAUGUGUGCAGGCAAGUAAAACUGAUAAACUGUUGCACCUUGGCAGAGCAAGAGGUACAUGAAGAUGUGAAGGAGGUAACGAAUAGUGAAAAUCUGCUAUAGUAAGGAAGAAGCCUCAGUGAAACUAUUGGAAUGGGGAUUUUAGAACAGGUGACCUGGAAAGAUUCGAUGUGAUGGUCAGAUGGCAGUGACCAGUGAUAUUAGGGUCUGUUGUAAGACCAUGUGCAUGGGUGACUGAGGUAAGCUAGAAGAAGAUAAUCAUUGAGACAAAGAAUAGCAAGAAAAUGAGAGGCCACUAUGUUAGAUAGGUCACAUUCCUGACUUUUAAUGUAGCUAAGGAUGAUGAGUGCCUCAGUUGUGCAUAGUGGUGCAGUAAACCAGGACCCAAAGUCAUUGCCAAAUGAAGGAUAUAAUGUAAGAAGGUGAGGACACCUAGGAAGGGUACAGAGUAGAAAAGUCUGAUGGCAUGCCUUUCAAGGGAGCUGGGGUUUUGAAAGCAGGAGAAAGUUCAAAAUAUCAAGGAGGAGCACUUUACUUUCAUAAAGCAGAAACAUCUUGCUUUACUUCUUCAACUUGUAUGUGUGGGAGAAACUAAACCAAACAACAAAACAACCUCUUCUUGAGAAGGGAAAGUUUAUCUUCCAGACAACAGGUGUCUGAGUAAUAACGGGUUGUGAGUGGAAGUGAGUUUGAGAGAAAAUAUACAAUAUCAGAGAGCAAGCUUUAAAGGUAAGUGAAUAAGACUUAUGAGGGAAGGGGCUGGAGGGUUCUUGAACAUAAGAAUUAGUGUUUUAAUGAUGGAUAAUUGGGGAGACUGCGACUUCUGGUGGUGACUGAGUUGAAUGAGGAGUGGUUGUAAGGCAUAGUGGUAAUAGCUCUGGUCCUUAGCGCUGGGUAGUAUUUACUCUGGUCCUUAGCGCUGGGUAGUAUUUAAGAUAUCAGUUAUGUCUCUCACCUGGGAAGGAUGACAUAUUUUCGAGGAAGAAAAAAUUGUAAUGAACCCUCAAGGAAGUUGGUUGUAGUCUUGGUAGAAUGAAUACCUAGUAAAGGAGUUGAUUUAAGAAGAAUAGGAGUUUGGGAGGAGGGGAGCUCUGGACUUUCCUGUGACUGAAGCUGUUUUUAAAGUCAUUUUAAACAUAGGCCAGUCAAGGUGUUGGUCAUGACCUGCGUUGCUUCGUUCACCGGCUACACCAACCGCCCUCUAGUGGCUCGUCCUGUAUUGCAAAGUCUGGAAGAUGAAAAACUGCAGGACCGAGGCAAAUUUCCCCACGGUUUCUGUGUGAAUUUUAGAUUCUGUCAAUCAGAUGGGUAUGGGUGAGACUUGGAUUUGGAACUGAGGUAAGGGGAGAGAGGCAUAGAGAAAAAGACCAUCCUUAUUCUGCUAGUAAAGAGGGUAACAGCGGCAAUGUCCUUCUGGAGUUUGCCAUUCCCACCCCCAGCAGCUGGUUUCUUAAGAGUGGAAGGAGCAGCAGCAUCUUUGGUGCCCAGACAUGAGGGGUUUGUUUUGGAGACCUAGCCAUGACCUGCUUCUCGCGUCCUCUGAAUGAUUCUGAUGGCUGCUUUAUACUCUGUUGUAAAUGUCAUUCACUUAACCUACCACAGUGGUUUCUUUCCUCCACAACAUGUACCAAGCCCUUCUACUCCUCAGGCUAUCCCUCCCGAUGAUCUGCCUGAGCUUGGGCACCCAGUCUAGUACAUAUAAACGUUUUACCUAGGACCAGCAAAUUUUCCCUCAGGAUUUUUUUUUUUUAAGAAAUAAGGUAAGACCUAGUCUAUCAUGAGAGAUAAGGGAUGUUACUUUAUAAGAUGAGCCUUAUUGGGUGGAUAAUUGGGAGAAGACAGGAGGAGAGAUAAUUAUUAGCUGAUUUGAAGUGUGUGGGAAGGUGUGUGCGCACAUGUGUACGUGUUUGCAUGUGUUUCCAUUGAUAGUACUGAGUACUUUAGAAAUGAUAUAAAGCAACUCUUGGAUAUAACCCUAUUUUCCCAGAAUCAGAAAUUACCUUCUCCAGCAGACUGUCAUUUGUUCUCUUUAUCUUUCUGUUUGGAAAUAGGCAGAAAUGUUAUUUGGAUCAACAGUCACUCAUUAAUUUCUGAAAUAUUUUAUUAUGUGCCUGUGUGUCAGGCACUAGGCAAGGAAUUG
rnacentral:lncRNA from 1 species